CAGAUGUAAAUACUGAGGCAGUAAGUAGGGAAGAGACUUGAGCUAUUUAAGGGGAGAACUGAGGGAGACUCAGUUUAUUGCCCAUUCUCCAGUCUGCCAGGAAUCUGUCCUGUGCCUUACACAAAAUGGGGGUGAACCUGGGGCUUUUGAACAAUGAUGCUAAUAUACAGAUUUCUACUCUAAUGUCAAUUCCAAUGAGAUUUGGUUGGGGCUGAUUUCUUAGAAGUAGUGAAAAUCUAGUUAUUGUCAAGAUACUUCCAUAUCUCCCUUCUGCCUCCUUAUAACGUUGCUUUCCUUGACUUCAGCCACUUCCAGAGUAGGAAGGACUACCCACAGCUGGGGUCUGAGGAAGUGAAGGCACCCACUACUUUCAGCACCUGCCCAAGGCCUCGCUGCCAGGAAACAGCAGGGGUAGAAGACUGAAGAACGGAGCAGAGACCCCCCUGGCUGCACGGAGUGACGCUCAAAGUCACCAAGGACAUUGAUGGCCAAAUCAAGAUUGAUGUCAGAAUUGCUGAUUAGAGUCUGUCCAACCACAGGCCUGGAUUGAUGAGAAUAUUUUUAGAACAUACUUCACUCUUUGGCUCCUUUGACAACUCCUCACCAAUGUUUUCUUAUUUAAUUACUUUCCAUGUAAUCUGCUCCUGCAGACUUGCCCUCAGUAUUGCCUGCAUGAACAGCUUCCGUCUUGCAUUUCCUAGAAAAUACGCAUGCUCUGUCAUUUGGCAAGCACCUCCAGACUUAGGAGAGAGAUCUCUGUUGUGUCAGUCU
ensembl:lncRNA